rnacentral:rRNA from 1 species
CACGGAGUUAGCCGGAGCUUAUUCUCCAGGUACUGUCAUUAUCAUCCCUGGUAAAAGAGCUUUACAGCCCUAAGGCCUUCAUCACUCACGCGGCAUUGCUGGAUCAGGCUUUCGCCCAUUGUCCAAUAUUCCCCA